CUGCAUUGCCCUAACUUAUUAACAACCCUCAACUCACAGCUAAUCCUCACUUCUCCAGCUUUUCUUGAAAUAAUCUAGUACAAGCCCAAAUCCUAUGAGAAGCCCCUUUCAAUUCCUUGUUGAGACCUCUACAGUUCCUUUGGAGUGCUUUCCCCGCUCCUGCAGCAAGACUUUCUUGCAAAAAUGCCUGUUUGGGAUUCCUCAGAGUACAGACAAAAAGGAAGGCUUGAUCAGCAUGUGGUGGAUCUGAAGAUUCAAAGAGGUGCCACAGCUCAAAAGUAGACAUUUUGGCAAAUGUGAAGAAGUGAGAUUCAAUGAAGAUGAUAAGAAAUGAAAGGUGUUACCAAAAUUACACAAGUAUUUCUGUCAUUUUCCUACUAAAUUACAUGAAGGGGGUUGUCUGCUUAUGAGCUGCACCACCGAGCAGCAUGCCUAUCAGCGAGAAGGUGCCUGACAAUUCUCAGUUGAAAUGUCCUGACCAAGUUCCCCCAGAAAUUUAUGACUAAUAACAAAAGGGAAAAGCUACCCUCACAAGGAGAUGUCCAGUUGACACUAUCUCAACCAAAAUUAUUAAACAUAGCAUCAGCAAUCGUGGGACAAACAGACGCAAACAUCUCCUGGUGUGAGGCGAGGAAAGAAGACGACUUUACCAUGUGAACCCCUGUGGCUUCCUCAGAGACUGUCUGCUCUGGCACAUGCUCCUCCAGGUCUU
rnacentral:lncRNA from 1 species